AUUGAACGCUAGCGGGAUGCUUUACACAUGCAAGUCGAACGGCAGCGCGGACUUCGGUCUGGCGGCGAGUGGCGAACGGGUGAGUAAUGUAUCGGAACGUGCCCAGUAGCGGGGGAUAACUACGCGAAAGCGUAGCUAAUACCGCAUACGCCCUACGGGGGAAAGGGGGGGAUCGCAAGACCUCUCACUAUUGGAGCGGCCGAUAUCGGAUUAGCUAGUUGGUGAGGUAAAGGCUCACCAAGGCGACGAUCCGUAGCUGGUUUGAGAGGACGACCAGCCACACUGGGACUGAGACACGGCCCAGGCUCCUACGGGAGGCAGCAGUGGGGAAUUUUGGACAAUAGGGGCAACCCUGAUCCAGCCAUCCCGCGUGUGCGAUGAAGGCCUUCGGGUUGUAAAGCACUUUUGGCAGGGAAGAAAAGUUUCGGGCUAAUACCCUGGAGCGAUGACGGUACCUGCAGAAUAAGCACCGGCUAACUACGCGCCAGCCGCCACAGUAA
rnacentral:rRNA from 1 species